rnacentral:rRNA from 1 species
ACGCUCGACACCUACGGAGGCAGCAGUGGGGAAUAUUGCACAAUGGGGGAAACCCUGAUGCAGCAACGCCGCGUGAAGGAAGAAGGUUUUCGGAUCGUAAACUUCUAUCAAUAGGGAAGAAAGAAAUGACGGUACCUAAAUAAGAAGCCCCGGCUAACUACGUGCAAGCAGCCGCGGUAAUCUGAGCGGGCUGGCAAGGC